rnacentral:lncRNA from 1 species
GCCGCCGGCAAUUCUCAGCCCCAGUCGAGUUCCCAUAUCUUUCCGGAUGACAACAUCCUGGGGCAAGCAACAAGCGAAACAACACGCAUGGUGCUGCUGCUCCUGCGGACGAAAAACCCGCAUCCGAUUGAUUGGAGAUGCUGCCGCGUAGCGAACUUCUACGCCUGGCCAUAAACUGUUCCGGCUCAUUUCCGGAAUCGAAUAUUUCUGGGUAGUCAACUUUGGGAGUGAUUGGAUAGCGCUCCACUUCCAGUUGAACGUACGGUUUGGAACGACUCAGCAAAGUUUUUCGUACUGAAAUGAUGCGAUCUCCCACUGCAAGCAUUCCGCUUCGAUCCGCCACUCCGCCUUGAAUUAUUCCCGAAACGUACACGCCCUAAACCACCACAAAUCAAAAUUAAAAAGUGAAAUUAGAUGAAGAAAUAAUAAAGAACAAUAAUAAAAUACUUCAGAGUUGGCCUGGCCGUCUCUGGACGACACGAUGAAUCCCAAUCCGGUGACGUCAUCGCGUUGCAGUUUGACUGUGAAUCGAUUCGUGUCGGACAAACUGUCGUCAUCUUCUUCUUCUUCGUCAUCCGUCCAUUUCGUCGAAUUUCUGGAGGAGUUGAACGUCUUUUGCGGUUCCAUUGGCGAUGGAUAACCGCUGGUGGUUGGCGUAGGCGUUGCGUAAACAUGCUCCGGGGGGAAUGACGUAAUGGCAGGUAACUGAAGCGGAGCCAUCAGCGAUGGAUUCAGGUGGACGACGGACGGAUUACAAGCGAAACAAUACGGAUGGAAAUGGACGCCGGUCGAAUCCAGGUGAGACGUGUGCUGGAGUCCCACGCUGCUGGAAUGGUACGGAGUUACACUCGUGAUGGGCGACUGGACUUGAUAAGAGUUGGACAUCCGUCGAACCGGAGGCGUUCUAGGUCUCAGAUAACCUUCCUCUUCCAUCGGACUCGGGUAAAUCAUGUCGUUCACAUGGUGGGAUGACAUACGUCGUCGUCUGGGCGGAUCGGGAGUCCGGCUCCUGCGAUUAUUGUCAUCUCUCCGCGAGGAAUUCAACUGGUAACUGGAUCGUGAGCGGAUGAGUGGGCCCAUAUUGGUCGCCAUUGGAACGGCCGAUUCGACCAAUCGACUGAUUUUUCGGAGAACUCGAACGUGCAAAUCGCCUCCGGAAUUCCUGAGCAGGUCGACGGCUUGAUGGUGUUCCAGGUCUGAGCAAUAAACGCCGUUGAUGGAAAUGAUUUCAUCGUCCAACUUGAGUCCAGCAGCAUCGGCCGCUCCUCCCGGCACAAUUUUCGCCACGAAAAUUCCUUCAUCUCUGCCCCGGUAUGGAAACGAUCCUCCUCCGCCGGCGACUGUCAAUCCCAGCCCGUGCUGUCGACUCCACUUCCGGCGCUGCAACCGCAAUUCGUGCACCUCCUCUUCUUGCAGUUCCACGUACGACCUCCUUCUCUGUGAAGAACUCGCCCUGUAUUUUUCCAGAAAUAUAAACCACAUGAAAUGUACACACAACAACAACAAUAGCCAUGAAUUUUUAGAAAACUACCUGGGCUGCCUUCUCGACAUUCCUUCACCGCGUAAUUCACAAACUAGAAUAGAAUUAGUUGUAGUAGCUGUAAUAAUACACCACCCCGCCCUGGGAACAAAUGAGCGUCCUCGUAACACUUAUCGAAUAUCCCAGCAACCAAAGUGAACGCCAACGCGAUAAGGCCGUUUUCGUAUCGUCUUCUCGAUAAGACUGCACACACAUACUGACUCAAACUAAACACAGUGGAAAGGUGAGGCAGCAUAUCAGCUGUAAAAACAAGAAAAUCUUAUCUCUCUCAAGUGUUGUGUGUACAUGCAAACGAAGGGGCGAGUCUGAAUUGCGUAUACAGAUUCCGGUUUCGGAAAAUGUCAAAUUCCUUUUUUGUCCACGACUGCUCUGCUGACGAAUAACAUUCCAUAAUAAAACUUUAUAUAACAGUGUGCCAGGUUGUUUGAACUUGACAAAAUUAAAUUACGUUUGAGGAAUGUAUCCUCGUUAUAUAGUUUGCGACCAUUUUUCCUCGUUUGUUGUUGGAAAUAUUUCCUCGUUACAUAAACCCAUAGAUGAAAAUAAGCCAUACAUUUCUAUUUGGUAUUCUUGCCGGUUUUGCCCUUGCACGACUUUUUCACACACUGUGCAAGUGAUUUAACUGUACACGUGAAAUAAAUAUUUUUCCAUUAUAAACGACAAAACAAAAGAAAAA